GAUGAACGCUAGCGAUAGGCUUAACACAUGCAAGUCGAGGGGCAGCAUGGUCUUAGCUUGCUAAGACUGAUGGCGACCGGCGCACGGGUGCGUAACGCGUAUGCAACUUGCCUCACAGAGGGGGAUGACCCGUCGAAAGACGGACUAAUACCGCGUACACUCCAUCUUGGGCAUCCAAGGUAGAGGAAAUGAAAUUCGCUGUGAGAUAGGCAUGCGUCCCAUUAGCUAGUUGGUGAGGUAACGGCUCACCAAGGCGACGAUGGGUAGGGGAACUGAGAGGUUGAACCCCCACACUGGUACUGAGACACGGACCAGACUACUACGGGAGGCAGCAGUGAGGAAUAUUGGUCAAUGGGCGAGAGCCUGAACCAGCCAAGUCGCGUGAAGGAUGACUGUCUUAUGGAUUGUAAACUUCUUUUAUACGGGAAUAACAAGAGUCACGUGUGACUCCCUGCAUGUACCGUAUGAAUAAGCAUCGGCUAACUCCGUG
rnacentral:rRNA from 1 species